AUGAGGCCAGGAGUCACGGAGACGGCUGGAAGCGUGCGUCCUGUGUGUGUUGGGGGGGCGAGGGCUGCUGUCCUGGUGGGGACCCAGCGCCCUGUGCUCUCCAGGCUCACCUGCCUUGGCGCGUCCUGGGAGCCGCAGCCUUGGCUUCUAGACCUUCCACGGAGGGACUGUGCUUCCGGCCAGAUGCCGCCCACCCCCACUCCCNNNNNNNNNNNNNNNNNNNNAGAACAAAGUCCCCACGCCAGAUGGAGCGGGUGUCAGGUGCCAACUUGGGCACUGAAGCCUUGUCUUCACGUUGUCCUUCACCCUGGGGGCAGGAUGGCAGAGAGCACAGCAGACACUCUCCAAGCGGGUGGGGGACCCUCCCCAGUUGAACUGGCCGGGCCCCACAGGUGACACAGGCUGCCCGCUGUUAUGGAGGCAGACACACCUGCAUGGAAACCUCCAGAGUGAGGAAUCAAGGACCCCCGUCCCCGAGAAGCAGCUCCCGGAGGCCAGUGCAGGUAACUCUGGAGCCGUCAGCAGCUCUCCCUCGGGGGCUUCUUGGGUCCGGAUAGGAGCCGCGCGGAAGCCGCCGCGCGCUUCUGGUGUCGCCACUUGGCCCGGCGGUUCUUGAACCAGACCUGAGGGGGAGGAGCGCUCAGGCGGGCCCAGCGCAGGCCCAGGUCGCUCUCGGGUCCCAAGUGCACCGGCCGCGUCUUCGGGACGCGAGUGCGGGCGGACGGGGGCCUCCGGGCGGCUGCUCCAUCGUCUGUCCUCUGCUGCCGAAGGCCCGGGGCCGGAAUCCCUUCCCCCGCCUCCGCCGGCCGGUGCCCCUCGAGCAGCCCCGCGCUCUUCUGAGCCCCCCGAAUUCCAGGGCGCGGACGCGGGCUGGAUUCGUCAGGGGCGGGUGGGGUGUUUAAAACUAAGGGAGCCUGACCUCCGCCGCGGCCCCGCCCCGCCGGCCGCCUCUCAGCCCCCCGGCCUCGGCGCCUCCGCCCGCCUCGCAGAGCUGGCUCUCCCGAGGCGGCGGGCACCCACCUCCACGCGCUCCUCGC
rnacentral:lncRNA from 1 species